GCUUUCAUAGCUCAAUUGGUAGAGCAUCUGAUUUGUAAUCAGGCGGUUGUGGGUUCGAUUCCCUCUGAAAGCU
rnacentral:tRNA from 1 species